CCUACGGGUGGCUGCAGUGGGGAAUAUUGCACAAUGGGGGAAACCCUGAUGCAGCGACGCCGCGUGAGUGAAGAUGUAAUUCGUUAUGUAAAGCUCUAUCAGCAGGGAAGAAAAUGACGGUACCUGAGUAAGAAGCCCCGGCUAACAACGUGCCAGUAGCCGCGGUAAUAGGGAGGAUGCGCGCGUUAUCCGGAUUUAGUGGGUUUAAAGGGUGCUCAGGCGGGGGAUCAAGUCAGCGGUAAAAUGUCGGGGCUCAAGCCCGGUCGGCCGUGGAAACUGGUUUUCUGGAGUUGGAGAGAAGUAUGCGGAAUUCGUGGUGUAGCGGUGAAAUGCAUAGAUAUCACGAAGAACUCCGAUUGCGAAGGCAGCAUACCGGCUCCAUACUGACGCUGAGGCACGAAAGCGUGGGGAUCGAACAGGAUUAGAUACCCUUGUAGUC
rnacentral:rRNA from 1 species